GUGGAUCCGCCCCAUCCUGUUGCCUAACUUCCGAAAGUGGUCACCGACCCAGCUCCCAGCCUUAGGAGCAGAAAGCUUGCCUCUCUCUCAGAUCAUGCUGUGAAGCGCCUGACUGUGGCUGAGAGCCUGGUCGUGGCACUGGUGACCUGGGUGGUGGUUCCUUCCUUCUUUGUAUGCUGUGUGACCCAUUUGAGGUUUCCACAAUUGUGUGUGUAGGUUCUUCCCGUGUGAUUGGAGUGUUUUCAAUUAGAUUUUUCUCACUGGGAUCCCUCCCCUCAACCCUUCGCACCCGUUGAGCCUCAGCCACAUCCCCUCUAUCACCCCCCAUUUUAUGAAUGGAUGCUUUCUAUUUGUUAAAUAAUUUUAAAGAAUAAUUUUA